UAUCAUCGAACAAACAGCUGACCGCAAUCGAUCAAAUUGCGACUAAAGAGCUACCGCCCCGACCGAAAAAGACAGACCAGAUCAUCAAAAUCCCAAUCGUGCGCCAUACCUAUCGGACCUUCCCGAUUUCAGCCGGAAAAAUUCGAAAGCGAUACUACGAUACGGACUGCGAUCCCAAAAAUCCACACCUCUUCCUUUUCUAUUUCUCUCGAUCAGUAGGUACCUCGGCUUUGGAGACAGUAGGGCACAGCAAAGCGCGGCUGAGAGCGCAUCGCUGGCCCGACAGCGAGUCGGCGGCGGCGGCCAUCAUCCUGCUGAGGAGAGGGAGGCUGGAUCUGAUGCGCCCGGCCAUGGCCAUUUUCUCUCGGUUCGCCGGAACCAAACCCUAAUUUGACGCCUUUGUGAAGCGCUCGGUAAAGCUGCGACGACGGUGAAUGUGAGGAGAGAGACGAGACGUUUGCGAUGGAACUGUCUACUGCUCACUAGGGGUGAGCGCGGUUCCCGGUUCUUAAAGGACCGGUUCCGGUUCCCGGUUCCAUUUUUCCGGGAACCGGCAAUUUCGGUUCCGGUUCCGGUUCCUAUUAGAACCGGAACCGGAACCGGUUCAGAACCGGUUAGGGCUCCAAAAGGAUACCCCCCUCCCCCGCUCGCUCCCCCUCCCUCGCUCAGCACUGAGACUCUCUUUCUAUUUUCUAAUCCCUACUCAGAUUUCAGAUCUGGAACUCACGCCGCCGGACGCCGCUCUAAGUCUCGCCGCCGGACGCCGCUCGCCCUCAAGGCCGCUGCCGCCGGACGCCGCUGGACGCCAGUCGCCGACGUCGCUCGCGCGAACCCUCGUCGCUCGACGCCCGUCGCUGCCGUACUCUGCCUCUGCCCGUCGCCGACGCCGCUCUGACUCUCGCCGCCGGACGCCGCUCGCCUUCAAGGCCGCCACCACCGGACGCCGCUGGACGCCAGUUGCUGACGCCGCUCGCGCGAACCCUCGCCGCUCAACGCCAGUCGCUGCCGUGCUCUGCCUCUGCCCGUCGCUGACGCCGCUCUGACUCUUGCCCGCCGCGACUACCCGACGCCGGCAGAUCUGAGCCGAGCUAGUCUCCGCUCGCGACCCACCGCCUCUGCUCGCGCCAGAAGCCCAACAUGCCAAAAAGCAUAAGCCUGUCAUUUAUUAUUUCUUUUCUUGUUCGUUUCACGUUUGUUGGAAUUGGGACUUGCUUGGUUACGGAUUUCGAUGGUUUUUGAUGCAAAAGCUGAGAUGAUCGAGUCCCUCACCAUGAUAUAAUUUUAAGAAUCGAAUGACUGUCUCUUCCUUUCUUUUGGGUCCGUUACUGUUCCACAGAUUCUCCUGUUGUUGCUGAUAAGGCACGAUUCUUCUAUCCCAUGU
rnacentral:lncRNA from 1 species